UACGUAGGUGGCAAGCGUUGUUCGGAAUUACUGGGCGUAAAGCGUGCGCAGGCGGUUCUGAAAGUCAGCUGUGAAAGCCCCGGGCUCAACCUGGGAAUGGCGGUUGAAACUACAGGACUAGAAUCUGGCAGAGGGGGGUGGAAUUCCACGUGUAGCAGUGAAAUGCGUAGAUAUCAGGAGGAACACCAAUUGCGAAGGCAGCUCGCUGGGACGUUACUGACGCUGAGACGCGAAAGCGUGGGGAGCAAACAGG
rnacentral:rRNA from 1 species